UAAAAAGCAAUGAAGAGAAACGCCAUUUUGUAAUUGCGAUCAGAGAGUUGCUGGUCGGUGAGAAGCAAUUCGCAAUAUUCAAUGGUGAUCAUCUCUGAGCUGUGCAGCCAAACGUAUGAUUAGUAGGCUACAUUGGGUACACCCAUUAUUGUGUCAGCGUAUCGCGAAAGCCGUACGUGUGAGAUUGUCCUAGUAAUAGAGCAAUAAAUUUAAGGUGGUACCGCGCAGAAGCGUCCUUUUA
rnacentral:ncRNA from 1 species